UACGGGGGGGGCAAGCGUUGUUCGGAAUUACUGGGCGUAAAGGGCUCGUAGGUGGCCAACUAAGUCGGACGUGAAAUCCCUCAGCUUAACUGGGGAACUGCGUCCGAUACUGGAUGGCUUGAGUUUGGGAGAGGGAUGCGGAAUUCCAGGUGUAGCAGUGAAAUGCGUAGAGAUGUGGAGGAACACCGAUGGCGAAGGCAGCCCCCUGGGUCAAAACUGACGCUCAUGCACGAAAGCGUGGGGAGCAAACAGG
rnacentral:rRNA from 1 species